GUUAUAAUAGUUUAAGUGUAAAACUUUGGUUUUGUAAACCAAAAUUAGAUAUAAUUUCUUUAUAACU
rnacentral:tRNA from 1 species